GUAUGUAUUUUUUGCUUAAUGUGUCAAAUUAGAGAGAACACUAACGUGGGUAAAAGAAAAAAAUCUAAAUGAAUUAUCUACAUAAUUCUUAAGCAGUACAUUUUUCUUUAAAAUAUGCAUUCAUGUUAUCUUCAGUCAGUCAGUUGCUGGAGAUAGCCGUUUUGUUUUUGAAAUGCGUAGAAUUCUUUUGUUGUGCUUUUAAUUGUAAAGAA